UGAGGUGUACUAUGGACUGACGGAGG
rnacentral:piRNA from 1 species